rnacentral:snoRNA from 1 species
AUGUUCAGAGUGGGGCACUUCCUAAAAUAAUCUUGGAAUCUUUCCCACGCUUCUGGAUAGCUCUCAAUGUCCUUUUGCUUAAAAGUAUGGAUUUCAUUUCUAACAU